rnacentral:snoRNA from 1 species
UACCAAGGCUUUUUGUCAGGGCAUCCUAUCGGUGUGUUACACAUUAUUCAUAUAGCCUGCCUGUUAUAACUUUGGAACAUUAAUACCUAUCGCCCAGUCGGUGAUAUUCGUUUUGAUUAUCAUUGACUACCGCAAUCUUUCGUYUUGAAAGGGCAACUAGAUAGAUUUUGGARCUUUGGAGUUGAACUUUGCCGAAUGCUURUCUUCUUUCAGUAGAGKAUAAGGCAUCAUUCUCAUGGUUAAGUUCRUAGUUAAGAGCCAAACAAUU